UACGGAGGGGGCUAGCGUUGUUCGGAAUUACUGGGCGUAAAGCGCGCGUAGGCGGCUUUGUAAGUUAGAGGUGAAAGCCCGGGGCUCAACUCCGGAAUUGCCUUUAAGACUGCAUCGCUAGAAUCGUGGAGAGGUAAGUGGAAUUCCGAGUGUAGAGGUGAAAUUCGUAGAUAUUCGGAAGAACACCAGUGGCGAAGGCGACUUACUGGACACAUAUUGACGCUGAGGUGCGAAAGCGUGGGGAGCAAACAGG
rnacentral:rRNA from 1 species